CUGUGGAAACCAUCCUGGGAAAAUGAUGAGACGACAUCCAUUGCAAAGAUCCACAGUCAUGACCAUUGUGGAGCAAGUAUUCAAACACCUUAGAGUUGGAGGCCAUUCCUGACCACCUUAUGUGACAAGAAGCCUAUCAUGGGUAUCUAUAGAUGGGAUCCAACACCAUCCUAGGAAUACUGAGAGACAUAAGAGCUGGUUCAAGUUCAGGUAAACAGUGAGUCCAGAUCCAUGAAGAAUCUUCUUUCCCAAGUGAAUGAGUCAAAUCAGAGCAGCAGCACCACUCUGAAGGCCAACAUCAGUGAAUCCAGUGGGCUGAUCUGUUCACAGACACCUGCAACAAGGUCAGGUUAUAGGCCCAGGCAAUCAUAGAGGUUUGAGAGCCAGGCUUUCUUAAGGCAUCUGGGCCACCUCACAGUGGGUCAGAUAGUUCGCAAGUGCCCUGAAGAAGAUCAGUGGGGGAUGGACAGAGUCCAUGCCAUUCACUAGUAGAGGGUCCUAAGACCCAAGUGGCAUAUUGGUGUUAGGAGAUCUGUGAGUUCUGGUAUGGCAAGUGAAUUUGGAAGCCUAGGAGGUGCUGGACCACCAGACCUGACUCAGAGCUUCAACCCUUCAUUCAGCAAAGAGUCUGCCUGAAUGAGUGGCACACUUUUUCAAAUGAUACCAGCUACCCACCAGGAAG
rnacentral:lncRNA from 1 species